UCUCAAUUCCACACCUUUUGGCUCCAGAAUUGAUGCUCUUGCCUGCCUUUCACUCUUCUCAACCAAAGAGGUGUCUCUGGCAAAGACCAAGGGAAGUCUGUGGCUGAGAUCACACCUUCUGUCCCAGGCCAGCCUCCCAACCCCCUUGGGCCUGAACCAGGGGCUUCACUUUUACUUCCCUGGCCUGGGGCCCAACCAGUGGGUGAAUCUCUGCAGGCUUUCUGGGUUCUGGGUCUCCUGCCUCCCAACUCUGAGCUGUGCCUGGGAAGAAAGGAAAAAAGAUGCUAAACCCCAGGGCCACUCCCUGAGCCCCAGAACCUCCAUGCCACAUGGGUGUGGCAGCAGCAGCUCUCCUAGGCUAGUAAGGAUAAAAUCUUUUCAAUGUCAGAGAACUUCUGAUCUCCUUUAAGCUGGCUGAGGCACCCAGAUCACUUUCCCCCUUGGGUGAGCACAGGAUUGGAAUGGCAAUCCCAACUCAGGUGCUGGGGAUAAAUAGUGACCCUGCAGACAUGGUGGGCUGUGCUCUCCAAGAUCCCCACAGUCAGACCAACCCUUUCUUCUGCAUCACCCAAGUCCCAUGCUUCAGAGCCUGGCAUCAUCCAACAAGUCAUGAAACAUGAAGACCUGAACUCACCUGACCAGCAGAUUCGAGGGUGAAGGGCUUCUGGGUCCCUGCAAGUGGUGUGUGGCCUAGCUGCCCAGCUGCAUCUGUUUCCAGAAGCAUCCACUGCCUAUGAGCAGACAGACCAAGCAGCUGUCAUGCAGAAGGUAACGGAAAAGGAUACCUCUGCGGAAAUGACUGCUGCCACUGCCCUGGGUUGGAUUCUGGAAAACCCUCAAGGACUCACUUCCAGUCUCCCCCAGAAGUGCACCUUAUAUGUCUCCAAGGCUCACUCAGCUCCUUCCUCUCUGCUUGAGACAUUUUUCCGUCUCACUCAGCAUUUCCACCACCCAGAGUUCAGACCAGCCACAGUGUUUGACCUUCAGCGAGCCCGGCUCAGCACCCACUCCUCAGAAGGCUGCUUCUUCUCCGGCCUGUGCCUUCUUUGGAGAUGCACUCAUGGGACCUGCCUGCAAAUGUGAGCAGAAAGGAGCCCAGCAUCUGCCAGGAGGGGCUCCUAAGGUG
rnacentral:lncRNA from 1 species